UUUCCUGUGGCUCAGUCAGUAAAGCAAUGCACUAGCAAACCAAAGGUUGUUGGUUCAAACCACAGGGAAAG